rnacentral:rRNA from 1 species
AUUGAACGCUGACGGCAUGCUUUACACAUGCAAGUCGAACGGUAACAGGCCUUCGGGUGCUGACGAGUGGCGAACGGGUGAGUAAUGCAUCGGAACGUACCCAGAGGUGGGGGAUAACGCAGCGAAAGCUGUGCUAAUACCGCAUGUGAUCUGAGGAUGAAAGCGGGGGACCGAGCAGCAAUGUUUGGCCUCGCGCCUUUGGAGCGGCCGAUGUCGGAUUAGCUAGUUGGUGGGGUAAAGGCCUACCAAGGCGACGAUCCGUAGCUGGUCUGAGAGGACGACCAGCCACACUGGGACUGAGACACGGCCCAGACUCCUACGGGAGGCAGCAGUGGGGAAUUUUGGACAAUGGGCGCAAGCCUGAUCCAGCAAUGCCGCGUGCGGGAAGAAGGCCUUCGGGUUGUAAACCGCUUUUGGCAGGAACGAAACGGUGUCCGCUAAUACCGGGCGCUAAUGACGGUACCUGCAGAAUAAGCACCGGCUAACUACGUG